CUCAGAACCUCUGGAAGAACAGU
rnacentral:piRNA from 1 species